GAUGGCGACAGAGGGCAGCUCCUCAACAAGUGUCCUCCACACUCUCUCAUAUGAGCACAGAUGGAUUUAGUGUGCGUAAUGUUGGACCCACUGGUAAGACAAACACCCGUUUCCACAAAUAAAGACACUCACAUAAAGUUGCUCAUAUUCAAACCUCACGUGACAAAGGUGGGUUGAGCGCACAGAUCACAACAUAAACUCCAAAAAUGGCAUUAAAAUCGGAACCAUCUGUGCGUAAAUGACCCAUCGCGCUCCGUGGCCUGGCUCUUUCUGUCAGAGAUGUUGGCAUAUAAAAUAAAUUUGGCUCACAAAACUGAAUAUUAUAAUAUCCGUAUGUCGGCUUAAAGUAGAUAACGCAUCUGAGCACUGAAACAAAUCAUCUGUUCAGCUGCAGCAGCAGCAAGACGGACAGAGGACACGGAGACGUGUCCAGGUCGAGCUGUGCGAGAAAUAAGAGGAAGAGGAAGAAAGAAAAGGAGGGAGACGAAUUACAUAUCUUGUUAACUUCAUCAUGUGUGUAUAUUUACUAGAUAUUUAAUUUAAUUUGAUGCGGUUUCAGCUGUGUUGAUUCGGUCAGGUUGUGUGUCCAAACGCGUGCCAAACGCGUUCAUCAGAUCAGAUAUAGAUCAGAAUAUAUCGAUAUAGAUCUAAAUGUAUGUGCUGACUCUGAUUAAUAGUUGAUGAUGAUUAUUUAUUGCACUGAAAUGUGCCUGGCACUGUGGAAACCUGCCGGUGAGGCAUCAGUGACGUAUGUCGAUACGCCGCCGGUCUACCAAAAUACUACAAGACCAGCUGCGUUCCGCCUUGCGCUGAAAGCUGACCAGGUUUGAAUCGGUGAGCUUUCAGCGCACUUUACACGCCGUUGGCGAGCACGAAAAUGUCACUGCGCCAGCUGAUUCUGUCGAAACCUCCCCCUGCCACGCCACCACGCCCAGCUUGGCGGAUCUCGGCUCGCCUCCGUGCGGCUCAUGCCACGAAAAUACCAAACUGGCCUUACGCUGGGCUCCGCCAGACGAAAAUACAACUGCGCGGGGCUCGCCGCCCUCCGCCGCCUCACCGGCGCGCACGAAAAUAGAGCCCUAUGUG